UUUGAAAUUUUGAUCCUGAUGUAACACUUAACAAACCUUUAUGCAAAUUGCUUUAUAUAAUAAUGACCAUUGGGAUGCAAGCCAUGAGCUGACACGUCAACUAGAAAAAAAACUUGGUAACAUGCUUUGUUACAGACACAGAGGUCUCCAUUCAGCUGCUUCUGUACAGUUGUCUAGUACUACCUGAGAAUACUAUAGGCUACCCACCCCGUCCCCAGCUAUAGGUUUCUCAUAUAUUCUUAUCUCAUGACAGAUUUCCCAUGUGUCGUAUCUGUCAGCUGCAUGUGGGUGUCUCAUGUACCCUGGGACGUCUUAAAUGGCACUACAUGCCCAGAUAUGGAAAAGGAGGCAAGCCCUGCAUUUGUUUACAUUGAAUUUAAAUGAUGUACAGGUUACAAAUUACUGUCUUGUUUGAGUUUCUUUCAUACAGAUCUGAAUUGCUUGCCACAUCCCUACAGAGCCACUAUCGUGGUUUUCUGGAGUGUGUGAUUUUUUACAGAUUAUAUCAUCGAGAUGGUGAUGGCUGUAGCCGAGGACGAACUGACCCUUCAGAAAAUGUACCUGAUCAGCCAGCUGCUGCCUGUGGUGUUUAGGCAUGCCAGCUCCAGCACAGGAGAAGUUGAAGAAAGCCUAUGCACAACUGCACAAGGACUACAUGAGUUGCACUGGUUAUGUGUCCCUGGAGAGGCCAAGAAAACAGGAAAAGGAGCCAGCCAAGAGGCAUAUUCAAGAGAAGGUUCACAAACUUCCCUAUUACCUUUGGGAUUGU